UACAGCUGCUGCCAGCUUCCCUGUCCUGCCCCACCUCCAAGCCACUUCCACAGGUGGAGAUCCCUGCCUUCCUGGCUGCAAAUAUGAGGAACCCAAGCAUGAUCCAGAGUGAGAUAGAGCCUGUGAUGAAAGAAAAAAAUAAUUAACUGAAACAGAGACAGCCUCCGCUGCUCCCCCAUCCUCCCGCCAUAAUCCUAUCCCCAUCCCCCUCUGUCUCUUUCUGGCCCCCAUCCCCUAUCUGCCCUUCCAUUCGCGCACCCUCCCACCCGCCAGCCCUAUAGGUGUUGGGGGUUUUGCGAUGGUAGGCGGGAAAUAUAUCGUCAAUAACAAACGCUGCACUGAGCAAGCUAAAGUGUGGCCAGCUAUCUGCACAGGAAAUCAGUGCAGUUGUCACUUUAAAGUCACAAUUGAAAAAAACAGUUCAUGGAAACUUUUACGAAUAGAAAAUUGUUUUUCUUCGGCUACCUUUGCUCUUUUAUUUCGAGUUCUUUUUCUGUUCAAAGAUUAUAUUGCUGACAGGGAAAUUGUGUCUGUGAAUAUGAGUGUGAUUAAGAAAGACUCUCUGGCACACUUAGACAUUUUGACCAUGAAAAUCCAGUAAUGUCAUUGGGCUGGUUCUUUGCCACCCAUGUGAACACUACUCUACACAAGGCUUUAAGAGGGGAAAGGCAUGUCCUACUGUCCACGGGAGACAUGCUUGAGUUCUGGCAGCAGUGUGGCCUACUUUUUAGCUCCAGCAUUAAGUUCCAGCUUUUGCGUGUGUGUGCGUGAGUAUGCAUCACAAUCCACCCUCAGCUCCUUUCUUUCUCUUUUGUCUUGGUUCCUGACCAUUCCUUAGGGCAGUUGGUUGUGGCCAGCCCUGAUCAGUCCAUCAUGGGCAAGUUUGGAGAAAAUGCCGAGCUCUGCUGCUUCCUGGCCUCCACGAUGAAUGGUGAAGGAUCAACACCCACUAUCCACGUUGAAGGACUUGGGACGGAAGAGAUAAGACUGCUGUGCGGGUCAGUGGGAUGGUUCCCAGAGCCCCGAGUUCAGUGGAGAGAUUCCACUGGAGAGACAGUGCCAGAGAAGUUUGAACCCAGUAAUAUCUCAGGAUGCAGGUGGCCUUUAUCAAGUGGAAGUGGAUUUUAUCCUCAGAAAAGACACUGAUAGGAGAGUGAUCUGUUCCAUCAUGAACCCAGUCCUGAGACAGGAGAAGGAGUCAAAUGUCCAUGUAACAGAUCUCCUUUUCCCCAAAACGAAUUCCUGUUGGUGGGGUCUGGCUGUGAGUGGGACGAUGAAUGUGGUCUGUCUUCCCGGUAUCGCUGCUCUCCUCUGGAUCAUUUAUAGGAGAAGAGGUCAAGAGGAAUGACUAGACUCGGACCUGGUUCAUCCCAAACUACGUCUCUAAGAUUCAUUCAUUCAUUCAAUCGUAUUUAUUGAGGGCUUACUGUGAGAAGAACUCUGUACUAAGCACUUUGAAGAGUACAAUAUAACAAUAAAGAGACACAUUCCCUGCCC